UUACUAGAUGGACACAGUAAAAUUUGUGUCACCAAUCAUUUCCUUCUUCCUCAAAACCCCCAAAUUCCCCACCUCCACAAAACCUAAAUUAACCCCCACCAAGCUAAUUAAGGAGAUCUCCACUGUAUCUCCACCGUGUCUCCACCAUGACCAACGCCAAUUCCAACGUCCACGAAAACCUAACCAGAUUUAGUUACCACUUACCAUCAAUGCUCUCCUCUCAUGUACUCUCCUCCGCUACCCAAAUUAAGCGUAUGAUUCAGUUUAAAGCAAUCUAUUACUCAUAUCGAUUUUCACUUUCCUCCUCCUGCAGAUGCAGGCGAUGUAAUUCAGAAGCAUCUUCUGUGGAGACUCAGAGAGAUCUAAAGUCAAAUGCCUUGUGACAGUUCCGGUAUGGCUACUUACGAACCAAAGACCAUCCUUAUCACUGGAGCUGCAGGCUUCAUUGCCUUUCAUGUUGUUAACCGGCUGAUCACAAACUACCCUGAUUACAAGAUCGUUGUGCUUGACAAAGAUCGUCCGCCAACUUGAAGUUUGUGAAGGGGGGUAUCGGCAGCGCCGACCUCGUCAACUACCUUCUGAUCACCUAGUCGAUCGAUACCAUCAUGCACUUUGCUGCACAGACUCACGUCGAUAAGUCGUUUGGCAACAAUUUUGAGUUCACAAAGAAUAACAUCUACGGAACGCAUGUGCUUCUAGAAGCCUGCAAAGUCACCGGCCCGAUUAGAAGGUUUAUUCACGUGAGUACAGAUGAGGUGUAUGGAAAAACAGAGGAGGAUGCCGUUGUUGGUAACCAUGAAGCUUCGCAACUUCUUCCUACGAACCCGUAUUCAGCCACAAAAGCUGGUGCGGAAAUGCCAUAGCUUACGGUAGGUCAUACGGGUUGCCCGUGAUCACCACUAGAGGAAACAAUGUUUAUGGCCCAAACCAGUUCCCGGAAAAACUAAUCCCGAAGUUCAUUCUUCUGGCGAUGAGAGGACAACCGCUUCCGAUUCACGAUGACGGUUCUAACGUAAGGAGUUACCUCUAUGGCGAAGACGUUGCUGAGGCUUUUGAAGUAAUUCUUUACAAGGGGGGAAGUUGGUCAUGUUUACAACAUCGGGACCAAAAAGGAAAGGAGAGUGAUUGAUGUUGCAAAAGAUAUGUGUAAGCUUGUCAAUAUGGAUCCAGAUUCAAGCAUUAAGUUCGUGGAGAACAGACCGUUUAACGAUCAGCGGUAUUUCUUAGACGACGAGAAGUUGAAGAGCUUGGGUUGGUCCGUCUGACCGUAUAAACAAACGUUACUCAAGGUUCUAGAAUCAGAACAGAGUCCAGAUCCUGGUCUUGUUUUGCCUGAGUUUCCAUAUAAUUGCUCAGUUUCAGGACCAAUAAUCGUUGAUCUGAACUAUACUAGAUUUAGAAUUAUAGUCUUAUAUAAUGUAACUUAUGUGAUUUUUUGGUACAUUAGUUAACAACUGAUAACUAGUGGAAAUGACUGGAGAAUAAGCACUAGUUCAAUUCAAGUUUUUAUUUUUUUAAA